GAAGGCCACGCCAUAGGCGAUGUUAUCGGAGCAGCCCGACCACUGGAAGCCUGAGGCAGAGAGCACAGAUGAGACAGACAUGGCCUUUUGGGGAUACAAACCAGAGGUGUGAAGGAACAGAAGAAAAUCAAGGAAAAGAGAGGUGCUGAUUGGGAUUGUUGGGUCUACUGGUAGUGAAUAAAAUACUGAUGGAGAAAACCUUCUAAAUCUCUGGAAGCAAGAAAAACUGUGCCUGGAAAGAACUGCCAAGCUUUGUCCCAUGACAAGGGCUGACAGAGACAAAUGAGCUUGUCCGGGCCAGUGGAGAAGUCCAGGACCAAAGUCUUCUACUGCUUCUCACCCAAGGUUUCUGCUUCUCUGUGUGUAAAUUCAUCCUCUUUCAUUUGGCAAAGAGGAUGCAGAGUUGCAUUGGCCAAGCCCUUUGAAAGCCAUGUGGAGUAUCAAUAAGGACAGUUUUUCCUGUCUUUGGCUAUCAGGUAAAUGACAAGACACUGGCCUUACAGCAGAAAAUGUUCGGAGGACAUUAAGCUGCAUUUCCCUGCCCUGACUGGGGAAUGUUUUAAAUGGGGACAGCAUUCUCCCUCCACACCCAUCUUCAAGAGGUCCCAGUGUUUCUUUUGAACCAUCUCUUCCAUUGGCUCAGUCUGCAUCCACCUGAGAUAUGAGCAGCAUCUUCGGGAGAUCUGUUCCUUUCCUGAAGAUGCAUGUGGAGCAAAGUGUUGGCUGUACAACUUUUUCAUGCUGGUGUCAGAUGAAGGUGUGUUGAUAGGGAAUUUUUUCCUGGCUUGGAGGAAGAAGCAGAGCUGGGCUUUGGGAGAUACCCAAGGGACAGGUUGCUGCACUCAUACCAAGUUUGAUCCUGCUGCUUUGCUGAAAUGCAAUUGAUAAUUGAACCUGAUUCCCGAACCAAGUCCUUAUUUCUCCUGAAACACAUCAGGAAUGAAGUUUCUGCAGCAGCAUUGGGCUGUCUGGGGCUCAUCUAUUUUAUUUUCUCUUGUAGCAGGAAAUCUCUUAUUUUAAGUAACGCUCUUUUCAGAAGUGACUAAUUAAACAACAGAACAGGAAAUGUAAGAGACAGUGAAAUCCCCUCAGCUGUCCAGUGCAUUUCUACGUAAAUAUGGUGGCAAAAUGAUGAAAACAAAAUCUUUUGGAGACAAAGGCAAAUGAGAGACCUGGUGAGGCAGCAUUGGAAAAUCUAUAGUUUGUUAUAAUAAAGUGAAACCACUGUGUUUAUCCUGUGUCUUGGAGGAUUUGGCAUAAUUAUUCUUAGGAAGGGAGGGAAGCCACAUGGAAAUCAGAAUAGCCCAGAUUUUUGCUAAAAUAUUUGUACAAAUAUGGUUAUUCAACUACAGAAAAGGACUUCUUUGGGGCUGUUGCUUCUGAAAUUAUCCUGCAAAACUGGAAGGACUGUAAAUGUUUGGCUUUAAUAGCUACAUACAAUGCAAACCUAAUCAGUGAAGCUUGAAAUGUCCAUGGCAGGGAAGAAAGGCAGAGUUUUAUGGCUCUAUGGAGGUGUGCAGAAGACCAGACACAAAAGCUGCCUAACUCCCAUGUAGGAAGGCAGCCUUUAGAAGCUGCUCUUUUGUCAGAGACAGUGGGGUGAAUUUUCCAUGCCAACAUGAUCUGCUUGUUUGCCUGGUUUGGUUGUGAAGAGUGGGAGAAGGUGUAGCACAGACUCCCCUUGCAACCAGCCUCCCUCAGGGUGUUCAGGCAGCCUCAUUACCCCAACUCCCACCCAGGCUGCGUGGCUGUGGGGCAAGGACCUGGCAGAAACCAUCCCAGCAAUCUGGGGAGGAAUUAGGGUUGUGCUGUCUAACUUUCAGUUUUUGCCUCCAGCAGAGGCUAAAAAUGUUCCACAUCGCUUAGAGGUGUCAGGUUCUGUAGCCGUAGGCUGGGAACAGCCCUCAGAACCUCUCAGUUACACAUUACCCUGAAUAUCUCAGCAAAUUACUCACAGCUAAUUGAAAUAAAGGAAACGCAGUGGCUCAGUUUACCUGGCGGACUGUAUAUAGCAACGCAACCACUGCAUUUUGCAUUGAUCAUAAACCCAAGAUUUAUUAUCCCACCUGGCAAAUAUUGACUUUUUUUUCCCCUCCGUCUGUGCUUCCUUCUCAUGUCAAUAUAGCAGUGUUCAUCCCAACUAAAGUCAAUAGUUUCUUAUUAACAUUUCAGCUCUAGAAGUGCAAAGUUUCCAAAUCAUCUUAGAACAUUCCCUAGAAUCGCAAAACCUCUGGUCAGUGGUUUUCAACCUGCUUUGGUUAGCUGAGUCUGAAAAAUUUUCCUGUGGCAAUGCAGACCCUUCUAAAGCAACUUAACUGUACUGAUAACAGACUCCAGGUUGAUGAGUUACUUUCUGUGGACCCCGCAGAAGGGAUUUGCAGAUCAGAAGUUCAAAAGUGCAGAUGGAAGAGAUACGUGGGAGACAGGUAAUCAGUCAGAUGUGUGUCAUUUCGCAUGUUGAAUUUAGAGGGGUUCUUAAGUUCCUAAGGCAGGUGUGCUCCAGAAAAACUCUUAACAGAAAUCACCAGGAAUGGGACUGUUGAAGCGAACGAUGGUUGUGGGUAGUUGUAUAUGUUUGACUUAUGAUGAUGCAUAUAUAUCUCAAUAAACCUCUGUCUAUAUCUCA